UACGUAGGGUGCAAGCGUUAAUCGAAAUUACUGGGCGUAAAGCGUGCGCAGGCGGUUGUGUAAGACAGAUGUGAAAUCCCCGGGCUCAACCUGGGAACUGCAUUUGUGACUGCACAGCUGGAGUGCGGCAGAGGGGGAUGGAAUUCCGCGUGUAGCAGUGAAAUGCGUAGAUAUGCGGAGGAACACCGAUGGCGAAGGCAAUCCCCUGGGCCUGCACUGACGCUCAUGCACGAAAGCGUGGGGAGCAAACAGG
rnacentral:rRNA from 1 species